UGAAAAGUCUUUCCUAAAGAUUUGUGACUUGCUCAUGUCCAGAGGACUGACAGCUUUAAGUAAAAAUGAAAACUUCCAUAGAUGCAGAUCUUAGCUCAUUUCUAGCCUUAUCCAUCCAGGGUGUCUGGACAAAUUAAUUAGAGUGUUACAUGUGAGUGCCUUUUCCCUGUUAAGAAGUGCCUCUUCCUCUACUAUCUUCUGUUAUCCUCCUAGAAAUUCUAUAAAGGGGGAACACUAUCCCAGUUCUGCUACUCUAAGGAUCUAUCUCCUGUGCCUCCUAGGUUAGCUCUGGGCUCACAGAGAACACCUGCUCCGCAUCUAAUUGCUUCUGACACUAACAUGAGAGUAGAAUGUCCCUUGGUCUGAGUAUUAGCUUAAAUUUUCUAAAUUGUUUGCUGUUCCUUGUUAAUAUUUUCAAAUAUACUUUCUUCAGAGUCUUUUCUUAGUGAAAAUUAGGAGUUCAAAGACAGAAAUGCUAAUUAUAGCUUCUCUUUGCUU
rnacentral:lncRNA from 1 species